rnacentral:rRNA from 1 species
AUUGAACGCUGGCGGCAUGCCUAACACAUGCAAGUCGAACGGAGAUAGGGGCAACCUUAUUUCAGUGGCGGACGGGUGAGGAAUGCGUCGGAAUCUGCCCUAUGGUGGGGGAUAACACAGGGAAACUUGUGCUAAUACCGCAUAAUGUCGAGAGACCAAAGCAGGGGACCGCAAGGCCUUGCGCGAUAGGAUGAGCCGACGCUCGAUUAGCUUGUUGGUAGGGUAAUGGCCUACCAAGGCGACGAUCGGUAGCUGGUCUGAGAGGAUGAUCAGCCACACUGGGACUGAGACACGGCCCAGACUCCUACGGGAGGCAGCAGUGGGGAAUAUUGGACAAUGGGCGCAAGCCUGAUCCAGCAAUGCCGCGUGUGUGAAGAAGGCCUGCGGGUUGUAAAGCACUUUUGUUCGGGAAGAAAUCAUGUCGGUUAAUACCCGAUGUGGAUGACGGUACUGAAAGAAUAAGCACCGGCUAACUUCGU